AAAAAAAUUCUCACUCAUCCUCCAAAGUCAACUUCUGUUGGACAGAAGCCAUUUUUUUCUUUGGAGGUUCACAGAGAAAAACUCUUACACAUAAUCUUCUACCCGCCAUUAUUAACUACCUUCCUUCCUGAAUCCGAUUGAUGAAGAAAUUUCUAAGUUUUAGAUUUCAAAAUCAGUAAUUUUUAUGUUGGUUAUGUUUUUUGAAUUGUUCGUCUGGAGAUUUGGUAGUGAAGAUCGAUUUCAGAGAUAUCAUCCACGAAGGUGGGUAAACUGUUCCUGCUGCUUCUUGGCACGACAGCUCUUAGCCUGGUGACAACUCUGCUGCUUUUUAAAUUGAUUCCUGCUGGUAUACAUCUCGGAGUUCUCCUGCACUGGUUCUCCCCUGACAGCAGUCAAAUUGAGGUAAUAUUUGCGUCUUCCAUUCACUGCCCUACUUUCCUUUGGAAAACAUGUGGUCCACAGCUAGCCACAUUAUCUGAUAUGGUGUGAACUCACAUGGGAGCACAUGAACCAUAUAUCAUUGCAUAAACCUUGUUUCUAGCUGUCUAAAAUGAUGCUUUGAGCGAAAGAGGAUAUCAUGUGAUUCCCCCUCUAUUCUUUCCACUGUUUUUGAUUUUGAACUAAAUAAGAUUGAUUUUGAUGUAAGAAAAUAUACAGAACAGGUAAGUGCGCAUUGUUUAAUGGCUUGAUAAACUUAGUUAAAAGGCGACUGAUGGUGGCGGCUGAACAACAGUCUGGUAACCCCCAAUUAAACUUAGUUAAACUUUAUAGGCUGUAAGUUGCUGGCCUAACCCACUUCUCGUACACCAACUUAUGCUCCGAUAUGUCUCCUACUCUAAUUAGGAAGUGACUAGUCCUUGAUCUGAAUGCCCAAGUAUUUGGUGGCUUCAGGUGUUUAAAUUUGAUGAUCAAUAUCAGGAUGAUACAUAGGCUUGGUGUUAUAGGUUUGGAGGAAAGAAUUUGGCUGCGAGUGGAGUGAAAAAUUCUAUUGUAGAAGUGCAGAACUGUGAAAUUAGAGCAUCCAUGUGAGCAUUAGCGAACAGUAGGAGAUGCACACUUUUUGGAGGAAGUCUGUGAUUCAUACUGUAGUUGAUCAUCUUGUGGAGUUUAAAGAAUAACCUUGUAUUGUAGAAAAUUUACCAAUCCUAAUUCAUUAAUUUUUCCAAAAGAAACAUCUAGACUUCUAGAAAAAAUUGUUCACAUUGAUUUCAAAUUUCGAAAAACUUGCCUUAUACAAUGAUACAUUAUAAUCAUCUAUAUAUCCAUAAUAAACUUUUUCUCAUAUGAUAUUGUUGCCGUGUUGCGUACUGUAUAAUCUCAAUAAGUAUAUUUUGGGGUUUGAUCUUAUUCUUAUCUCAUUCAUUGCUUUGGUGGGGGCGAUUCCCCAUUUGGCAUUUGCAAAAGAAUUCACUGUGAAACGCAUUGUACGCAUGCCAUUAAUUAAAUAAUAAUAUCUUAGAAUUGAAUGCAAAAUUUUAUACUGGUGCCAUUAAAUAACUCUGGUCGUUCGUAUAAUCCUUAAGAGCCUAACCCCUUUGUAUUCUCCAAUUACUUUACUCUCUAUGGUAAAAAGAGAUAUAUAGAGACAAACAGGGAUCGAGGUUUCAUUAUCUUCAAGCAGCCAUGUUCAAAAGUCAAAAGCAGAAAAAGAAAACUGCAGAGAAAAUGUUAAGAUCAAAAGAUUAUUAUAAAUGUUCAUCUACUGCUGCUAGAUAUCUUUCGAUGUUAACGAUCUUUCUUUUGGUAUUGCUCAUUUUGGUACGUCUCGGCAACAAUCAUGGUGAUAAUGAUGGUCUUCUGGAAUGGUUUCAUAACUUGAACCACCCUCGCCUCUUAUACUAUGCAGAUGAAGCCAUAAGUGAACAUAACGACAGAGCCAAGACAAACUUACGGUUGGAUCACUUGAUUCAUGCGGAGCGAAUCAACAGAGGCAAAGAAUAUCGAGGAAGAGAUGAGGAGUAUAAACUUGUUUUGGUAGCAAUGAACGAAGAAGAAACUAUGACAAAUGCAGAUCCUCCCCGCAGAAAAUAUGAAGUUCAUAUUGAAGUUAAUUGGAUGGGUCCAAGAGAGGGUCCCUUAGUGUAUUUGGUUUCUUUUAAACAAAUCUGUUUCUUAAGAAUUUUUUGUUGAAAGAAAGGUGAUUGCACCUCCAUUGAUUUCAUUCUCAGUUUCAUGAAAUUAAGUCGUGUGGUUUGGUGCAACGGAUGAUGUUUUUGGUAAAUGGGGAUUAAUUUUACA